rnacentral:tRNA from 1 species
UUUCUGAUAGCUUAAUGGGAAAGCAUAUGGCUGUUAACCAUUUGAUUAUGGGUUCGAAUCCCGUUCAGAAAGC